rnacentral:miRNA from 1 species
UGUCUUUCUUUCCCUGGGACCUGGGGGGACUGUGACUUGAAUGUGAAUCCUACAAUGUGGCUCCACGCUGUGUCCCUGAGUGGGGCCAGGUCUCAGCC